rnacentral:tRNA from 1 species
UGGCUUAGUUGGUAAAGAAUCUGCCUGCAAUGCAGGAGACCCAGGUUUGAUUCCUGG